rnacentral:sRNA from 1 species
GACCACCCGGAGUGAUUGCCCGGCAGAGCGCGGUAAAGAAUCUCAUUUGGACACAUUGAGUCGGGCACAACUGACCCAACUUUUCUUAGCCUCAGUCCUGGAAUGCCCUUUCUAUAAGGGUCCAAAACUCCUUCCUAAAUAUCAAGUGAAGUCAUUUCUUACCCCAUGCUGUUCCCUGGAGACCCCUGUGGAUUCUCAGCUUUAUAGAUAUGUGAAGAUUGGGCUGACUAACCUUUUAGGAGCAAGAUUAUAUUUUGCUCCAAAAGUGUUGACACCCUAUUGUUAUACAAUAGAUGUUGAAAUUAAAUUAGAUGAAGAAGGAUUUGUAUUGCCAUCCACAGCUAAUGAAGAUAUCCAUAAAAGGAUAGCACUGUGUAUUGAUGGUCCAAAAAGGUUUUGCUCCAAUAGCAAACACUUACUGGGGAAAGAAGCUAUUAAACAAAGACACCUACAGUUACUCGGUUAUCAAGUUGUUCAGAUCCCCUAUCAUGAGAUUGGGAUGCUAAAAUCAAGACGUGAAUUGGUGGAAUAUUUACAAAGAAAACUGUUUUCUCAAAACACUGUUCAUUGGUUGCAAGAAUGAAUACUGACUUCAGAACUCAAACAAUGGAAGAACUUGCAUUUUUAUGGAACUCAG